AACGAACGCUGGCGGCAGGCUUAACACAUGCAAGUCGAACGGCUGUAGCAAUACAGCAGUGGCAGACGGGUGAAUAACACGUGGGAACCUUCCUCGUAGUACGGAACAACUCAGGGAAACUUGAGCUAAUACCGUAUACGUCCGAGAGGAGAAAGAUUUAUCGCUAUGAGACGGGCCCGCGUCCGAUUAGCUAGUUGGUGGGGUAACGGCCUACCAAGGCAACGAUCGGUAGCUGAUCUGAGAGGAUGAUCAGCCACACUGGGACUGAGACACGGCCCAGACACCUACGGGUGGCUG
rnacentral:rRNA from 1 species